GGAGAAUUACUCAAGAGGUUGAAGAAGACGGUUUGCUAAAUCGUUAGGUCGGGUAACUGGCGCGAGGGUUCGAAUCCCUCAUUCUCCG
rnacentral:tRNA from 1 species